rnacentral:rRNA from 1 species
AUUGAACGCUGGCGGCAGGCCUAACACAUGCAAGUCGAGCGGAUGAAGGGAGCUUGCUCCUGGAUUCAGCGGCGGACGGGUGAGUAAUGCCUAGGAAUCUGCCUGGUAGUGGGGGAUAACGUCCGGAAACGGGCGCUAAUACCGCAUACGUCCUGAGGGAGAAAGUGGGGGAUCUUCGGACCUCACGCUAUCAGAUGAGCCUAGGUCGGAUUAGCUAGUUGGUGGGGUAAAGGCCUACCAAGGCGACGAUCCGUAACUGGUCUGAGAGGAUGAGCAGUCAGCCGGGAGCGUAGGCACGGACUGGACACCAGCGGUGGGCCACGGUGGGGAAUGUUGGACCAGGGGCGAAUGGCUUAGAAUGGACUGGCGCGGGAGUGAGGAACGACUUCGGCUUGUUAAGCGCUUUCGGCUUGGAGGAAGGGCAGUACGUUGAUCCCUUGCUGUUGUGACGGUACCGGAAGAAUAAGCACCGGCUAACUUCGUG